UACGAAGGGGGCUAGCGUUGCUCGGAAUCACUGGGUGUAAAGGGUGCGUAGGCGGGUCUUUAAGUCAGGGGUGAAAUCCUGGAGCUCAACUCCAGAACUGCCUUUGAUACUGAAGAUCUUGAGUUCGGGAGAGGUGAGUGGAACUGCGAGUGUAGAGGUGAAAUUCGUAGAUAUUCGCAAGAACACCAGUGGCGAAGGCGGCUCACUGGCCCGAUACUGACGCUGAUGCACGAAAGCGUGGGGAGCAAACAGG
rnacentral:rRNA from 1 species